GUGGGGAAUCUUGCGCAAUGGGCGAAAGCCUGACGCAGCCAUGCCGCGUAAAUGAUGAAGGUCUUAGGAUUGUAAAAUUCUUUCACCGGGGACGAUAAUGACGGUACCCGGAGAAGAAGCCCCGGCUAACUUCGUGCCAGCAGCCGCGGUAAUACGAAGGGGGCUAGCGUUGCUCGGAAUUACUGGGCGUAAAGGGCGCGUAGGCGGACAGUUUAGUCAGAGGUGAAAGCCCAGGGCUCAACCUUGGAAUUGCCUUUGAUACUGGCUGUCUUGAGUACGGGAGAGGUGAGUGGAACUCCGAGUGUAGAGGUGAAAUUCGUAGAUAUUCGGAAGAACACCAGUGGCGAAGGCGACUCACUGGCCCGUUACUGACGCUGAGGCGCGAAAGCGUGGGGAGCAAACAGGAUUAGAAACCCUAGUAGUCC
rnacentral:rRNA from 1 species